GGGGAUGACUUACCUGCAGUCGAACGGCAGCACGGGUGCUUGCACCUGGUGGCGAGUGGCGAACGGGUGAGUAAUACAUCGGAACAUGUCCUGUAGUGGGGGAUAGCCCGGCGAAAGCCGGAUUAAUACCGCAUACGAUCUACGGAUGAAAGCGGGGGACCUUCGGGCCUCGCGCUAUAGGGUUGGCCGAUGGCUGAUUAGCUAGUUGGUGGGGUAAAGGCCUACCAAGGCGACGAUCAGUAGCUGGUCUGAGAGGACGACCAGCCACACUGGGACUGAGACACGGCCCAGACUCCUACGGGAGGCAGCAGUGGGGAAUUUUGGACAAUGGGCGAAAGCCUGAUCCAGCAAUGCCGCGUGUGUGAAGAAGGCCUUCGGGUUGUAAAGCACUUUUGUCCGGAAAGAAAUCCUUGACUCUAAUACAGUCGGGGGAUGACGGUACCGGAAGAAUAAGCACCGGCUAACUACGUGCCAGCAGCCGCGGUAAUACGUAGGGUGCAAGCGUUAAUCGGAAUUACUGGGCGUAAAGCGUGCGCAGGCGGUUUGCUAAGACCGAUGUGAAAUCCCCGGGCUCAACCUGGGAACUGCAUUGGUGACUGGCAGGCUAGAGUAUGGCAGAGGGGGGGUAGAAUUCCCGGUGUAGCAGUGAAAUGCGUAGAGAUGGUGGAGGAAUACCGAUUGGCGAAGGCAGCCCCCUGGGCCAAUACUGACGCUCAUGCACGAAAGCGUGGGGAGCAAACAGGAUUAGAUACCCCUGGUAGUCCACGCCCUAAACGAUGUCCAACUAGUUGGUGGGGGAUUCAUUUCCUUAGUAACGUAGCUAACGGCGUGAAGUUGACGGCCUGGGGGAGUACGGUCGCAAGAUUAAAACUCAAAGGAAUUGACGGGGACCCGCACAA
rnacentral:rRNA from 1 species